UAGACAGAAGCCUGUUGGGUUAGGGCACUUGGCUGUUAACCAGGUUGUUAUGGGAUCGAAGCCCAUCUGUCUAG
rnacentral:tRNA from 1 species